rnacentral:misc_RNA from 1 species
GAAAUGCGAUAAGUAAUGUGAAUUGCAGAAUUCAGUGAAUCAUCGAAUCUUUGAACGCACCUUGCGCUCCUUGGUAUUCCUUGGAGCAUGCCUGUUUGAGUAUCAUGAAAUCUUCAAAGUAAAUCUUUUGUUAACUCAAUUGGUUUCUACUUUGGUAUUGGAGGUCUUUGCAGCUUCACACCUGCUCCUCUUUGUUCAUUAGCUGGAUCUCAGUGUUAUGCUUGGUUCCACUCGGCGUGAUAAGUUAUCUAUCGCUGAGGACACUGUAAAAGGUGGCCAAGGUAAAUGCAGAUGAACCCCUUCUAAUAGUCCAUUGACUUGGACAAUACUUUUAUGAUCUGAUCUCAAAUCAGGUAGGACUACCCGCUGAACUUAAGC